GAAUAUUGGACAAUGGGGGCAACCCUGAUCCAGCCAUGCCGCGUGAGUGAAGAAGGCCUUCGGGUUGUAAAGCUCUUUCGACGGGGACGAUGAUGACGGUACCCGUAUAAGAAGCCCCGGCUAACUUCGUGCCAGCAGCCGCGGUAAUACGAAGGGGGCUAGCGUUGUGCGGAAUUACUGGGCGUAAAGCGCGCGUAGGCGGCGGUCCAUGUCAGGGGUGAAAUCCCGGAGCUCAACUCCGGAACUGCCUUUGAAACGGGGCUGCUAGAGUCCGAGAGAGGAUGGCGGAAUUCCUAGUGUAGAGGUGAAAUUCGUAGAUAUUAGGAAGAACACCGGUGGCGAAGGCGGCCAUCUGGCUCGGUACUGACGCUCAGGCGCGAAAGCAUGGGGAGCGAACGGG
rnacentral:rRNA from 1 species